AUACAUUCAUUUUAUUUCUAUCGAAUGGCGUAGGUGCAUAGAGGACCGGGGUUCGAUCCCGGGGGUAAAGUACAGCCGGAGCGUGAUCCUGACCACUCACCCCCAUCUAGUGCCGAGAUCAAGAAUGAGUAGAUUAAAAAAAGAAACAAUUGUGUAGGUGGGGAAAUCCUAAGCACACCGCACGUUGUGAGCCUUGCUUCAUGGUUCGAAGUCACCUAUCUUCCCCUCUCUACGUUCUUUGGAGCCGCUGGCUUCAAGGCCCUGUUGAACCAGCAUGGCAGACAGUCUGUGUGUGUCCGCCGGGCAGAGAAGGUCGGGGAGGUUGAGAUUGUGGAUCUCCUACAGAACAUGGACGUUCCUUUUCUAAACGGCCGAGGGCAGUGUUGGAUUUAUACGCGUUGGAUCGUGAAUUAUCUAUCUGUCUGGUUGCCGGUUAAGCAAAGGUUAGACGUCCUUGGCACCGCGUCUUAGGCGAGUGGUUUCCGCGGUUAUCCACCCUCUCGUCGUAAUUGAAACGACUUGAGGGAGGAGCCUCUGCCCGAUGGACACACACACACACACAGACCCCUCAAGGAGACAGGCGAGAUGUUUCCAGUUUGUAAUCAAGGAACUAUGUGACACGUAACUUCUUUACUGUGUUGGUUGCGUGUCUAAUUAUGGUUACAUCUGUUCACCUGGGCGAUGGACUCCGUGGCGUGCGGAUGGCGUCUCUCCAUGCCUUGUUAAUCCCGUGGGAGAAGUCCGACAAGUACGUUGAUUUACAAGACUGGAGCUACGACGGUUUUAAUAUGUUCUGAUGACGGCCCGACAAUAGCCUUGAAGAACUGUCUACAGAAACGUGUGGACUAGUCUCCGUUGUCUCGGAAGUCGACGCUACGACUUCCUGGAGUCUGUCGAAUCAGUGGCAGUUCAUCUGACAUCGAACUCUCGCUGUUGCCAGUUACAUCUGAUUGUUAAGAUGAUUUCUGAGAGGACUUACAUCGCACUGUGCCAUCUCUUCAUUUAAGACCAACGUGUAUGGUCAACCGAAGGCAGACCGGAAGUCACCUGCGAUCCAAUACACCAUUUUUUUAAUAUAUAUAUAUAUAUAUAUAUAUUUCUUUAUAUAUAUUUUAGUAAUUUUUUUUUUGGGAGAGUAUUUAUUUUGUAUUUUUGGGGUCAACCCCAGUAAUAAUCCUGUGACCGUACCACCUCCCGACCUCUGGAGUUAUUUUAAUCUUUUCACGUCGCCAGUAGGGCGCAGUUGUCUGUAUAAUUUUUAAAGUGAUCACCCUGUAUGAUUCUAGUCACUAAAAAAAUAACAUGCUUCAGGUCACAAGCAUUAAAGCUUGAAGAUUGCGCGCUGUGACCGAAUCAUUUACAACUAAACAUCAGCUACACUUAUAAAUUGACAAUUUAUUAUCUGUAGUCCAGAUUUAAUUUCUUAUUCACUCAAAAUUGGUGGGAGACAGAAUAACGAUACAACAACGCCGCGUGAGAAAUAUCUUCGUACUAUAGGCCAAUGCCCUCAUCUCAGAAACAGAGGUGUUGCGCAUGCGUAAAUGACUUGCCUAUCGGGCUGCCUACGUCACAGGGACAAUCUCGCGUACAGUCCGCCUAAACUGCUUUUCCUAGCAUACUACAGGACGUUACAAAAUCCGCGAAACACGAAAUUUUUUCGGUAAAGAUUUUAUUUCAACGCAGGCUGUGAUCAGAUAAUUUUAUUUCGAGCGUAUUAAUUUAUAAUUUCAUUCUCUUUAGCCAUGUUGCCUUACUCCGCCUACUUAUGAAGACGUUGUUGCCACAUUUAUCAUGAACGGAUCUUGACGGUGUUGCCACAAAAUAUCAGAUUUUAUGUAAUUCGAAAGUCCGUCUACCCAAACCCUCUCUCUGACAAUUCAUAUUAUUUAAGAUCUGUAUUUAAGAAAUGGAAAAUGUUAACAGAAGAAUCUACUUAUACUUCUUAUGGCCAAAAACAACAGAUCAAAUGAGGCGGGUUAAACAUCAAACUCUGAAACGUUUUACUACACCAGUGUUUCUCAAACCGUGAUCCGCGAAACUCUGUAUUUUAAUGGAAUAAUCUCAACCCAUACCGAAUACUGGCUAAUUGAUAAUUAAUUCAUUUAAAAAUUUCAAAUAUACGACUUGGAUCAAAAUGGCGUUGACCGUUUAUCAAUAUUAGUGACAGAAAACUCAAGAAACAUUUAAAUGUGUAGCGUUCUUAUUUAUUAAAAAUCGUUUUACAGUCA